AAAUUAAAAAGCUACUUUGUUCUGGUAUAGUUUUUAAUUUUCUAGAAAGCAUGUUGUUGUUUAGCUGAACUUUUGAAUUCAAUUUCUUGAUUUGUGUGGUUGUAUUUACAUUUUGGAUGAGGUUUGUUGAUUUGCAUAUGCUCCUAAUAACUUUGAAUGGAUUUGGAUCAUUUGAGGUGUGUUUGUAUUUCUGUUAGUGCAGAUCCAAUUUGAAUGUGCUUUUGACCAAUUUGGCAAUCCAUAUCUUUUGUUAAUUGAAUAAAUGUAUUUUUGACCAACUUUUACAUAGCAAUAAUUGCUUCUUGUAAUGAUGUACAUACUAAAAUCUACCAUAUCAGAGAGUAUCCCUUGUGGGGAUUAGAAUACUCAAUAAUAAAGGAAAUAAUUGUAUGGAAGGUCACAGGAGAUCUUAAUAGUAGAUAUUUAUGCCUAGGCUUGCGUUGUCGUGUGGAUUAGUGCUCAUAAUGCUUUAAGCCUUCACAAUUACCAAUAAUAUGAAAUACUCCCUCCAUUCCUAUAUAACUGAUACUUUAAGGUUGUGGCACAAAUAUUAAGAAGUAGCAAUUAAUAUUCUUGUUUUACUAAAAUUACUAUCUAACUUCCUAUUAUACCCUUUAUCUCUCUUAUCAAUUCUAACUUUUCAAUUUUCCUACAAACAAUAAAUGAAGGGCAUAAUUGAUAAAGUAGCAUUAAUGCUCUCUUGAAAUUGUAAAAGUAUCAGUUAAAUAGGAACAAAAAAAAGAACCAAAUUAGUAUCAGUUAUUUAGGAACGGAGGGAGUAUGUCUUAGUGCUAAUUUUAAACUUAAAAUAUUUUUAAAUUGAAGCUGAUGCCUUAGGAUUCGGGUCCCAAUAACACAUGGCCACUAUCCUGUUCCUAAAAAUGGAGGUCUUACUUCAACAAAAAGUGCAUCACGAUGUGUUAUUUUCUUUCGAUUUUAUUUUCUUAAUUGGUAGGAUUAAUCUCUCAAUAAUCUGAUAAUGUUAGACACAUGUAGUGUUGUGGAACAUAUUACUUUGCUUGCAUUUGUGGCAACAAUGAUUGAAGCUUGAUGAAAUCAGAUUCCUCUUUGUUUACUAGUCAAUUAAUUGAACAAGGACCUUGUUGGCAUGACAGCAGUUAUUGUUAUUGUCAUUGUUAUAAUUGCCACAUAAUUCUCUAUUUUAUUAACAUCAUCUAGGAAGCUUGCAUUUGUUCCUGAAUUAUUGGCAAAUACUGCCAUGUUGAACAUCAUCUAGGACCUUGUUGGCAUGACAGCAGUUAUUGUUAUUGUCAUUGUUAUAAUUGCCACAUAAUUCUCUAUUUUAUUAACAUCAUCUAGGAAGCUUGCAUUUGUUCCUGAAUUAUUGGCAAAUACUGCCAUGUUGAACCCACUUUCUCAUUGCUUAGUUUUUAUGAUUGUCAGU
rnacentral:lncRNA from 1 species